rnacentral:rRNA from 1 species
UGAUGAGUGUGCUGUUCCUUAGGAUCAUGUGCACACUUGUCGUCUUUAUAUUUCCACCUGUGCAUCUUUUGUAGAUCCUGAGAUAUAUCUCUGAAUGCUAGUUGUUCAGGUUUGAGGAUUGACUUUCUGUCUCUUCCUUACAUUUCUCAGGUCUAUGUUUUUUCAUAUACCCUAAGUUAUGUUAUCGAAUGUAAUUCCAAAUGGGUCUCUGCGCCUAUAAAUUAUACAACUUUCAGCAACGGAUCUCUUGGCUCUCGCAUCGAUGAAGAACGCAGCGAAAUGCGAUAAGUAAUGUGAAUUGCAGAAUUCAGUGAAUCAUCGAAUCUUUGAACGCACCUUGCGCUCCUUGGUAUUCCGAGGAGCAUGCCUGUUUGAGUGUCAUUAAUAUAUCAACCUCUGCAGCUUUUUGUUUGUUGAGUGUUGGAUGUGGGGGGUUUUCUUCUGUUGGCCUUUUUAAAGGUCAAACUCCCCUAAAAUGUAUUAGCAGAAUCAGCUCGUUCAUUGGUGUGAUAAAUAUCUACACUAUAAUGGACAUUAAGCAGUUCAGCUUCUAAUAGUCCAUUGACUUGGACAA